UAUAAAUGUGGUGCUUCUCUCUUCCUGUUGGUGUGAGGCGGACAGAUGCCACCAACUUCCAGAUAAGCUCGGCUGCUCUCCCUUCAAACUCAUGCCGAUGGCAGCGCGUCCUCCCUUCCCUUCGGGCAAGGUCAACUUUUUUCCUUCCUCUUAUGCUUGCUUCAUGACGCAGAUCUUGCGUAUCUGAUCCAUGUCUACCUAUUUUAUGCAACAUUGUUGGUCUCUUGGUGAUUCUUGGUGUGUGAUGGGCUCUUGCACGUAGAGGGAGUUGUUCUCCGCUGUUUCGGUGACCGGGAGAGGAAGGUACGUCGUGAGGUGGCCCCGUCGAAUAAGGUAGCAACCCUUCUAGCAACCAAUUCAACUGCGGUUUUGCUCUCUAUAUUUCUGUGACGUUCUUUUAGUUGUGGACAACCUUUCUAAAACGAGUGUUCUAGGCUCUAGGUCACGUCUACUAGAUGCUUUGUAGCUUUCGUUCCCUUUAUUGAUUGCAAUUUAUCUAAAAAGUUGUUUAGUUUAUCCACCUGGAUUGAAAAGCAUGCUCUUACUUGCUUAAAGGAUAUCUACUCACUAGUAGAAAACUGGGCUUUGGUCACAGGGCAAUAUUCACAUUAGUCCCGGUUCAAUCACGAACCGGGACUAAUGCGAGCAUUGGUCCCGGUUCGUGCGGCCAGGGGCCUGCCGAGCCUCGUGGGGGCAUUGGUCCCGGUUCGUCCGGCCCCUUUGGACCCGGUUGGUGGGACAAACCGGGACCAAUGGGCCACGCUCCUGGCCCACCACCCUUUAGUCCCGGUUCAUACCACAAACCGGGACUAAAGGGCUGGUCCUAGUUGCGGCCAGUGUUUAGUCCCACCUCGCCAACCGAAGGGCGCUCACACCAGUUUAUAAGCCCGUCCCUCUCUGCCUUGUUGAGCUCCUCUCAAAGUGAAAAUAGAUGCCCUUAUACAGGGAAUUUGACCUAAAUUCAUAGUAAAUUUCUUUGAAUUUCAUAGAAAUUUAUUAUGAAUUUAGGUUGAAUUUUCUCUAUAGGCGUAUCUAUGUUCAUUUUUUAUAGUAAAUAAAAUAAAUAAACCUUACUAAAAUAAAUAAAAAUAAAUAAACCUUAAUAAAAUAAAAUAAAAUAAACUAUAGUAACUAAAAUAAAUAAACCUUAAUAAAUUAAAUAAAAAUAGCAGCAGUAAAAUAAAUAAAAAUAAAAUAAUUAAAGUAAAAUACAUAAGUAAUUAGAAAUAAAAUAAAUAAUUUUUUGUUGUAAGUAGAAACAAAACAAAACAAAUAAAGCAAAAGAGAAAAGAAAAAAUAGAGAAAAAAAUUAUGCCACCUACUGGGCCACCACGGCCUGAAUACGACUUGAAACCCAUCCGUGGGCCAGGAUUCAGGCCCGCAGAAGGCCCAGUAGGCCCCACAGGCAAAGAGAACGGUUAGGCCCGAAAGCCUGCAGUUGAGAGGAGCUCGCCCUUAAUGUACUCGGAGGUGUGUCUGUCAUCGUACAUCCAUUGCCGGUUCAUCUGCGUGCAUUAUAUAUAAUUAAGUGUGUCAAAAACCAUUACAGAACAUCAUGAAUAGAUAAUUAAGUGACCAAACUAAUAGAAGUUCAUCAUCACAUUAAAACCAAAGUACAUACAUAGUUCUCAUCUAACAACAUAUAUAUAGCUCUCCAGAGCAUCUAAUUAAUUAAACCAUACAUUGAAACUAUGUAAAACAUUUCAAUGCGAAAACAAAUGCGAUCAUAAUCACAACCAAGGUAACAAUUGAUCCAACGGCAUAAUGAUACCAAGCCUCGGUAUGAAUGGCAUAUUUUCUAAUCUUUCUAAUCUUCAAGCGCAUUGCAUCCAUCUUGAUCUUGUGAUCAUCGACGACAUCCGCAACAUGCAACUCCAAUAUCAUCUUCUCCUCCUCAAUUUUUUUUAUUUUUUCCUUCAAGUAAUUGUUUUCUUCUUCAACUAAAUUUAACCUCUCGACAAUAUGGUCGGUUAGAAUUUCCGGUUCAACUACCUCCUAGAUAAAUAAAAUCUAUGUCACGUUGGUCGGUAUAUUUCUCAUAAACAAUAAAUGAACCAAAUAGUUAUAAAAAGAUAAUAUAUACCACAUCCGAAUCAUAGAUAGGACGAGGGCCGACGGGGGCGGAUACCAAAACCAUCGCACUAUGUAAUAAGAAGGAAUAAUAAAAGUAACAAAAUUAGACAAGUAACUAUCUAAAGUAAGAAUUUUUUCCUUUCAGAAAGAAGAUAAGAACAAGAGGCUCACCACGGUGGUGCUGGCGACGAGAUCGGCGCGGGCGAUCGACGGCGGUGAAGACGGGGACGGGACGUGACAGACCGCUAAACCUAGACAAAUCUCGGGGAAAAUGAAGCUCGGAGGUCGAGUUUCGAGAGGAGAAAGAUUAACUAGUGUGGCUCAGACAUUUCAUCGAACACCUCAUGUGCAUAGGAGGUGAGCUAGAGCACCCAAAUGCCCUCCCCUCGCCGGCCAGAAAAAAUAGAGCACUGUGGAGUGCUCUGCUGUGGUGAUGGGGUAUAUAUAGGGAACUCUUUGGUCACUUAAUUAUCUAUUCAUGAUGUUCUGUAAUGGUUUUUGACACACUUAAUUAUAUAUAAUGCACGCAGAUGAACCGGCAAUGGAUGUACGGUGACAGACACACCUCCGAGUAC
rnacentral:lncRNA from 1 species